GAUAAAAAAAAGUGCUACAAAAAUCUUUAAAACCUGUGAAAUAUCCCUUUAGUGAUGGCUUUUAGUGACGGAUUAAACAACCAAUAACUGGCACAGUCAGAUUUCACAUCAGCCAAUCAGAUUGAUUGUCCCGCCCCUUUAACUGCACCGCUGAGAUUUAGCUCAGAUUGCGUGUAACAACUCCCUUGAGAGGUGAGAGCUGACGGUUGUUCCGUAAAUCCCCUGUAAGAUUGUGUUAAAUUCUACGAAGAAUCCUGAAAAUUGAUCUCAGAAAGCUUCUGUUCUAACAGCUGACGUCCGGAAAAAAUCCCCUGUAGUUGUGUAGCAUUAAGCAUCGGUCAGGUUUUUUUUUUUUAUGGUGCACUUUUGAAGCAUCGUGCCCAGAGACAUCAAGAUCACCCCCACAAGAACUUGGAUGGCGAGCCCCAGCCCAGAGAACCGAGUGAACCGGUAGAUGGUGACCCGACUGGUCACCAGCCCUGAAACAUU